GACCUGAUAGCACAAUGGUUAGUGCAGCUACUGUACUUAAUGGCAAGAAUGAAUUGUGAGUAGAAGAUCCCUGUUCAAUUCGGGGUCAGGUCA